rnacentral:lncRNA from 10 species
AGUUUCAAUAAGAAAUAAUGGGAGCAUGAACUUUGCAGAAAAGAUAAAAAUGGAAUGAAGACAGAACUCUGUGAGAGAAAGAACAUAGUAACUAUUCUAAUGAUGUUGGGAUCCUCAGUCUUCCAGAGGAUGGCAAUGGGAUUUGCUAAUACAGGAUGGGAGAGAGAAUGAUGUAAUUUAAGAAAGAAGUGAUUAUGCUGUUGAAAUCGUGAAGAUUUUACAGACUGCCUCCCAGAUUCACUGCCAGCAUCAGCAUGCUUGACUAGGAGAGUCAGGAGGGCCCUGCCAAGUCUGAUGCACUAUCUCUACCAUGACACCCUGAGGAGGAACUUGGAUUUCAAAUUAGUGAGCAGUCGGUACAAUGUAUUUCACUAUGCCAUGUUCAACAGAAAGGAAUACGAGCUUGAAAUACAUUCACAGAGUCUGUCAUCUUUUCCUAUCUCUCCAACAAAGAGAAGAGCUUUCUUUCUAGUUUGGACUGCCAAUGUCUUCCCUUCCACCUCGGGACUCAUUCUCUUGCAAUUUGGCACUGCCAACCCAGAUGGGACUGGUGGCCUGUGUUCUUCAGUGCAGCAUCUCAGUGGGGGCAAUAAUAGCAGUUAUUUCCAGAACAGCUUUCAGGAAAAGAGCUGAAGCAAUGCAUAUGGCUUCACAGCUGGAGACCACACUCCUCAGCCUCCUUACAACCAACCUGUCUUGUUUGAAUCCAUUCUCUUCAAGGGAAUGAGAACAAAAUUUACGUGUGCAGCUUCCAGCCCAUCAUCCAGUUCCCUGUCUUCUGCUAGCAGUACCCUGAUUUUGCUCUGUGGAAUCAUCCUCUUCCUGACUUUCAGCUCAUGUGCUUCUGAAUUUAAAGAUUGUCCUGGGAUGAUGGACCCCACAGAAGUUAUAACAAGAAGAGGACAAGAGUGACCAUUAAGUAUGAACUUCUUUAGGAGAAUAUAACAGGUUUGGAAGAUCAAGGAAUGAAGGUGCUGGGAGAAUCAAACAGUUUAAUAUAUGUAAAAUGCUUAGAAACAUGCUGCCUGCCUGGAGGGAUUUAAAGCUGUUCAUCUAAGCACUCUUUUGCUGUCACCAAUGGCAUCUUUGGCACAUAUAUGCAACAAAAGAUCUAAUCAAGAAGAUAUAUUCAA